rnacentral:rRNA from 1 species
GGCGCGCGUAAUACAUGCAAGUCGAGCGAGAAGAUGUAGCAAUACGUUUGUAAAGCGGCGAACGGGUGAGGAAUACAUGGGUAACCUACCCUCGAGUGGGGAAUAACUAGCCGAAAGGUUAGCUAAUACCGCGUACGCUCCUUGGGCUUCGGUUCAGGGAGGAAAGCGAUACCGUGGGUAUCGCGCUCUUGGAUGGGCUCAUGUCCUAUCAGCUUGUUGGUGAGGUAACGGCUCACCAAGGCUUCGACGGGUAGCUGGUCUGAGAGGACGAUCAGCCACACUGGCACUGCGACACGGGCCAGACUCCUACGGGAGGCAGCAGUAAGGAAUAUUGCGCAAUGGGCGAAAGCCUGACGCAGCGACGCCGCGUGGGGGAUGAAGGUCUUCGGAUUGUAAACCCCUUUCGGGAGGGAAGAUGGAAUGGGGUAACCCAUUCGGACGGUACCUCCAGAAGCAGCCACGGCUAACUUCGUGCCAGCAGCCGCGGUAAUACGAAGGUGGCAAGCGUUGUUCGGAUUUACUGGGCGUACAGGGAGCGUAGGCGGUUCGGUAAGCCCUUUGUGAAAUCUCCAGGCUUAACCUGGGAAAGUCGGAGGGGACUGCCGGGCUAGAGGACGGGAGAGGAGCGCGGAAUUCCCGGUGUAGCGGUGAAAUGCGUAGAGAUCGGGAGGAAGGCCGGUGGCGAAGGCGGCGCUCUGGAACGUUUCUGACGCUGAGGCUCGAAAGCGUGGGGAGCAAACAGGAUUAGAUGCCCUGGUAGUCCACGCCUUAAACUAUGAAUACUAAGUGUCGGCGGGUUACCGCCGGUGCCGCAGCUAACGCAUUAAGUAUUCCGCCUGGGAAGUACGGCCGCAAGGUUGAAACUCAAAUGAAUUGACGG